ensembl:lncRNA
CCUGCUCCGAAAGCGGGACGCCCUGCCCUGCCCUGCCGUGCUGUGCUCUGGAGCAGCUCGUGUACCCCAACUCAGGUGUAAGGGAGUACCUGAUGUAGCUCAGAGCUCCCCAGCAGCCUCUGUUAGCGCCCCGCUCACCCCACCGCCGCCCUUCCUCAGUGGCAUACCUACAUUUCAGGUGAAGCUGGUAGAAAAUAAUAUCAUAAAAUCUAGAACAAGCUAACUUGUCAGAAGGGAUAUUUAGAUCCAUUUGAAAACCAGUGAGGAUAACCCAAGACACAGUUCCUGUACGCAGACAGGAGACUCACCGGAUCAGAGAAGCAUCCAAUUUUAGCCUCCUGACAAGCCUGUGGGAUCAGCAGUAACAUUAGGACAAGACCAAGUGGCUUCCCGUGCAAUUAAGGUGAAUCACAUAAUCGCUUUCUUCCUCAUUUUCAAAGCAGAGGUAAUGCAAUACCUCUCUCUCAGAUACAAAGUGGGGACAAAUUCCUUUUUUGGAGAGCACUUUGAUGACUCUUGAGUCACAGGAGCGCUCAGCACAACACAGCAAGCACUUCAGAUCCCCACGGAGCUCUUAAAAUGUAUAAAAGAGGUAAAGGUUUCCAUGAGAACUGUGCUGAACACCACAAAACAGAUGAAAAUACUGCUGCCAAAGGCUUAACAAAGUGUUGUCCAGAACUUACCAACUUUCCUUAAUAUAGAUGAGACUCAGCCAAUGUUGGGAGCUGACCUGUGCAAUCUGGUCUAGAGAGCCUGCUUAGGUAGGAGGGUUGGACUCGAUGAUUCCUAGAGGCCCCUUCCAGCCUCUACAGUUCCGUGAUUCUGUGACCCCAGAAUCCCAUUUAUUAGGUCAGUGCUCUCAUCAGAUGAGGCACAGUACCCACAGACAGGUGAAACCCAUGUUGAUCACCUCUGCGCUGCAAGGGUGAAUCUCUUGUCUGAUGCUGGAAGAGAACCACAGGGAUCAUUGAGUUACAGGCUCUCAAAGUUCAAACCAAGGAAUAAGGCUGCGAGGGCAUAGGUCAGCUACCCCGGCACCCCUUAAGGCACAUUCUAUGUUUUACAGGGAAAACACAUAUCUAGAUGUGAAUGCUGGGUCUGCCUAGAAAUCUGAAUGCACUCAAUGUGGCAAAGAUUCAGCCGAAAUGCAGAAAAGAAUGCUAGGAGGAAAGAUACCCCAAACCUGGUAUUCUGUGAAGGGAGCGUCUCUUACAGCAUUCCUCCUUUCCUUGGUGGUUCAUGGCUGUGGACUGCUUAUUUCUAUUGUGACAGUCAUAAGACAACAACAAAAGCCACCACUAAACCACAAAGAUCAAAAAUCACACACCACAAAACCCACAACUAAAAUGGCAGCAACUUCAGAGCUGAAGUCUUCAGAAUUCCUCCCCGUUGAUUUUUUUUUGCUGAACACGGGAAAACAAAAACCUGUAAGACUUCUAUAGAAAUUCCCUUUGUUAUCAGGUCUGUUACUAGAAGUGCAGGUAUCUGGCAGAGUAAUCACUACCGCUUCAUAGCUACAUUCCUCUCAACAAAGGAACAGAAGAUACGGAUAGAAAAAUCAAAGUGUGGUUUAAUGAAUACGUGCAUUUGGGGCACGCAUAUCUACCGAACAGUAGCUGUCCACAUCCCUUUCCUCUGCAACUAUGAAACCCCAAAGCAACAAAGAGAUGCUUAAGACAGGAAGACAAGGAAAGCGGCGUACUGAAAAACAGGCUGUGUAGGCUGCUCCCUCCCACAGCUGUCCGGUGCAGCUUUACGAGUUAGUGAUGUGCUUCCUUCCUUCAGCUGGUUCAAUGGGACUAUUAUUACCAGUCGCUGAUAGGAGCAGUAGGAAAGGUAUGAAGUGGGAGUUUUACAGGGACUCAUUCUUGAUUCAACAGUCAGCAUGUGAACUAACUUAGGAAGACAGAAAUCAAAAGCAGGAGUAGCAUGAGAAGCGUGCCUCAGAGGGACAAACAUCCUGCAGGAUUAUUAUAUUUAGGUAGCAAUAUAAUAAAAUGAAGCCCAAUAAGAUUCAACUGGGUACAAUGUAGUAAGUGCACAACAAACAAACUACAAAGACAACCAUACAUUACUGGCUGAACUCUCAAGACAAUUACUUUCAGAAUAAUUUAACUAUGGCAGAUAAAAAUAAAGCUUAACAAA